rnacentral:rRNA from 1 species
UAUUACCGCGGCUGCUGGCACGGAGUUAGCCGGUGCUUCCUUUGGAGGUACCGUCAGUGAAGGGGCGUAUUAUACCCCAACAGUUUCUUCCCUCCUGACAGCGGUUUACGACCCGAAGGCCUUCUUCCCGCACGCGGCGUCGCUGCGUCAGGGUUUCCCCCAUUGCGCAAUAUUCCCCACUGCUGCCUCCCGUAGGAGU